rnacentral:misc_RNA from 1 species
GAUGAAGAACGUAGCGAAAUGCGAUACUUGGUGUGAAUUGCAGAAUCCCGUGAACCAUCGAGUCUUUGAGCGCAAGUUGCGCCCGAAGCCACUAGGCCGAGGGCACGCCUGCCUGGGCGUCACACGCCGUUGCCCCCCCAUCUACUCCUUCGGGAUUGCGGGGGGGCGGAUGAUGGCCUCCUGUGCGCCUAGCCGCGCGGUUGGCAUAAAUACCAAGUCCUCGGCGACGCACGCCACGACAAUCGGUGGUUGCGAAACCUCGGUUGCCCGUCGUGUGCGUUCGUCGCGCAUCGAGGGCUCGAAAAAAUGCUCGGCUCCGGCUGGGCUUUCAACGCGACCCCAGGUCAGGCGGGGUUACCCGCUGAAUUUAAGCAUAUCAAUAAGCGGAGGA